rnacentral:rRNA from 2 species
UGGAUCCAGACUUUGAUUAUGGCUCAGGAUGAACGCUAGCUACAGGCUUAACACAUGCAAGUCGAGGGGAAACGAUAUUGGAAGCUUGCUUCCGAUAGGCGUCGACCGGCGCACGGGUGAGUAACGCGUAUCCAACCUGCCCACCACUUGGGGAUAACCUUGCGAAAGUAAGACUAAUACCCAAUGAUAUCUCAAGAAGACAUCUGAAUGAGAUUAAAGAUUUAUCGGUGAUGGAUGGGGAUGCGUCUGAUUAGCUUGUUGGCGGGGUAACGGCCCACCAAGGCGACGAUCAGUAGGGGUUCUGAGAGGAAGGUCCCCCACAUUGGAACUGAGACACGGUCCAAACUCCUACGGGAGGCAGCAGUGAGGAAUAUUGGUCAAUGGGCGAGAGCCUGAACCAGCCAAGUAGCGUGCAGGAAGACGGCCCUAUGGGUUGUAAACUGCUUUUAUAAGGGAAUAAAGUGAGUCUCGUGAGACUUUUUGCAUGUACCUUAUGAAUAAGGACCGGCUAAUUCCGUGCCAGCAGCCGCGGUAAUACGGAAGGUCCGGGCGUUAUCCGGAUUUAUUGGGUUUAAAGGGAGCGUAGGCCGGAGAUUAAGCGUGUUGUGAAAUGUAGAUGCUCAACAUCUGCACUGCAGCGCGAACUGGUUUCCUUGAGUACGCACAAAGUGGGCGGAAUUCGUGGUGUAGCGGUGAAAUGCUUAGAUAUCACGAAGAACUCCGAUUGCGAAGGCAGCUCACUGGAGCGCAACUGACGCUGAAGCUCGAAAGUGCGGGUAUCGAACAGGAUUAGAUACCCUGGUAGUCCGCACGGUAAACGAUGGAUGCCCGCUGUUGGUCUGAAUAGGUCAGCGGCCAAGCGAAAGCAUUAAGCAUCCCACCUGGGGAGUACGCCGGCAACGGUGCAACUCAAAGGAAUUGACGGA